GGGAAUGGAGGUUGUGGCUGGAAGAGAAAGGGUUAAAUGUGGGUAUGACAAAAUAUAUAUUUUUUCUUAUUUUUUAUUUUUGUGAAAUGGUAGAAUGGGUGGGUUUGUGAGUUUAGGGUUUUUUUCCUAAGUCCUUAGAAGUCAUUUGACAAAGGGUUAUUUGUCUUUAAAAUUUUGAAGAUAAGAUGGAUGGGGAAAUAAGACAGGUGGGUGGAAAUAACAGCACUCUUUAGAAUUUAGGCUUUUUAGUGCAAAUAGUCCUUGUGGUUAAUGAAAUUAUCACCUUUGGUCCUUAAUUUUUUUUGUGACAUUAAUGGUCCUUAAGGUUACUCUCUAUACAUCAAAUUGGUCCCUAUUGUAAGCUCUGUCAAAUUUUCUGUUUGAGUGUUGACAUGGCAAAUAUGUAGAGCCCACACAUCCAAUUAUAUAAAGCCAAAUGGAUUUAAAUAAAAGAUAUCAUAAAAAUUAAAAUCCAAAAAAAAUUGACUAAAAAAUUUAAGAAAAAUGAGAUUAAAACUUCAAUAAAUAAAAAAAUUGAAACCAUCCCUCCCCCUCCCCUCCCCUACCCCUCUGUAUCCCCCUCUUCUCUCUCUCUCUCUCUCUCUCUCUCUCUCUCUC
rnacentral:lncRNA from 1 species